UCUCUCCUUAUGUCAGAGAUCAGACAUCUCUUUGGGCGAGUCAGACUCAGGGGUUUACAGUCCUUUCAACUGCCUUGACUAAUCUGCUCCCACCUGAUGUGUGGGCAGGUAACAAGUAUAAAGAUGUUUCUCCUACCAAUUUGCUUUGCAAAGCUGAUGGUGUACAGCAGGCCAGACUCCUGGGUGAAACCCAAGCCUUGCCGAAAUCUGCAGGUUCAUCCCAAGCACAGAUUGGACCCUGACUGCAUGUGGGUAGGAGCUGGAUGAGUAAGGAGGUGUUCUUUCUUACUGCAUCUACCACCGAAUCAGAAUAGAAUUGGGAAAACGUUCAUUAGGAAAGUAUAAUGUAAUUAAUCCAUUUUUCGCAUGAUGUUUUUCUUCAGAAAUAAGUUAGGGCUUUACUCAGACCACUAGUACCCCCAACCCCAUCCCCAAUACUGCCUGCAAAAGAAGAACAGAAUGAAUGCAGCUGUUGUGUUACUUCAGUUUCCCCUUUAUGUAUGCUUAAGUGACUAACCCUGAAUUCCCUGACUGGGAUACAAUAGUUCAAUAAAGUCAUGAAGACCUUCCAGAAAUACAUACACAAACAGAAUGUGGUACGCUCCUGCAGAAAGAAACAUAAGGAAAAAUGAAAAAAAUAUAUAUAUUUAACAUAGAAAUUGCAAAGCAAAAGCCAAGUAUAAGAGAAACCAUUUGAAAAAGCCUACCACCACAAAAAAAAUGGCCUUGUGUUAGAGUUCUGAAGCAGGUUCCAAAAAGCAAACCCCAAAAUGUGUAGGACAAGAUCAGAACAUUAAUAAAUAAUGUAUGUUCUCCAUCACAGAGAGUUUAAUUUAUCCUAUCAAUAUGAGUUAAUUAAUAGUUAAAAAGGACACUGUGAUACCCAUGUGGGAAGUCCUAUGAAAUUAAAAUUCAAGCAGUUUAAAAUGUGGUAGAUUGCUGUCUAUUAAAAAACAUGUUAAGGGAUUUACUGUAUUGCUAUCUUAAUUUUACUUUAAGCAGCAAGACUUUGAUGUGCAUUUAAACAUUACAGUGUGGCAUUUGCAAUCCAAACGUUGUGGAAUUAAAUCCCACCAAGCAUGGUAAAAUCAGGGGAAAUAACUGAUUAUACACAAAAUUAACACAGAUAUCUUUUAUGAAAUGCUAAGACGAAGCAAAAAGCAUUACCUAAAUUUCAGUUUCUCUCAUCCAAGCAUAUUUUACUGAAUCAGUAAAAUUAAUUUUUAACUAUGUGACUUUCACCAUAGCCCCUUCCUUUUAAAAUUAUUUUAGAUUUAAAUAAUAUAAUGACUUUUACACAUACAAAAUUAUUGCUGUUCUACUAGAGCUUUCAGAGUAGUGUACCAAUAUCUGCCCUGAGAGUACUUUAAAAUAUGCAAAUCUAAGUGAGUAAACUGGCAAAGUCAACACGUUUCUCUGCAGUGAGACAAUGACAGAAGUUCUGCUCAUGCACUCAUAUCCUUUUGAUUAAACAGUUUAAUUUUAUUUUUGGACAUUUAAACUAACUCAGAGUAGGAUUAACUAAAUAACCAUGGUCUUCAUAAAUUACAAAGGAUGAAGCAUUCAAGCUGUCUGUUGGCUGAACCUGGGCUGUUCUUUCUGAACACACCAUGUCCAGAUUAUUUAAUCUUUAUUUUUUUACAGUUUUAGCGGAUUCAGUUAGGUUUUGGUGUAAGGAAGUUUUAGUGAUACAAUCUGUUCAACAGACCUCUGUAUUGUGAAAGAGCUUCUGUAGGAAGUGGCAUCAUUCCUGGUACUUUAAACUUAAAAUGAGAAGAAAAUCCUUUGAGAAAACACCUUUGUAUGUGCAUUACUUUAAAUAUGUACUUAAACACACCUACUCUAAAUAGGUAUUUUUAAUUUGCUGCCAUUCAAAAUAAUUUUACCACUGAGAAAAGUAACAGUCGCCAUUAAACUACAAUAGUCUGUAUUUUGUAGCAAAGCUGGAUAAUUUGGGUGAGGUUCUAAGGGAAUUGAUGGAAAAACUGAUACAGAAAAUAAAUCAGCUCUCCCAGGGUAUCACAGACAGCUAGCAUUUGGGAGGCCCUGGUUGCCCACCAGAAGACAGUGGUCUUCUGUCUCUGCAUCUUCGAAGAGGAGACGUUUGGUGACGUCCUUUUCACAGUAGUUCCCUCUUUGAUAUUAACUAUGCUUUCUUAACUUCUUUGCAAGGCAAACAUUGCUUUUGCUCUAUGACAGAUCGCUUUAAAAAUUCAAGUGGACAGGCAUUUUUAAUUAAAGUCAAAACAAAGUCAAAUAAGCCUGAAAUAAACUGCAUUUUAGUUUAGCGCAGCAUUAGCUCUUAAAUAAAUAGUGAGCAGCCUUGGAGCUCUGGGCUGUCUCUGUACAGCAGAUGGCAUUACAGGUAAUAUUUAUCAUACUCCAAUCCUGAGGCUAAGAUAGUAGGGAGGGAGUACUGACGUCAGCUACAAGUGAAUCAGUCUUAAUACAAGCUGAAAAACUGCUUGCGCCUUCAACAGUUGAUUACAUUGUACAGCAUUUCUGCUUAGUGCUCCCCAUUGCACUUAUUAGUCUGUCUGAGCAAGCCUAGCAGGAAGAGUUCAUUUUGUUUUGCAGCUUAAACAAACUGAUGUAAAUUGAUCUUGGACUUUGAGGUGGGAAGAUUCCAUCCAGCUGCUGUAACCAGGGGAAUGCCCUUUGCUCCAGUUCUUGUGCCAAAUUUGUGCAUUUGAGAAUUUUAAACAAAUACCACUUGGCAGGAUAUCGGCCCUCAGGGUACAGGAAUAAUACUGAGCGAGACAGCAGGGCACAUACUGGGAGGGAUUUACACGGAUAUCUAUCGGCACUGAUAGUGAACAGUGAGGAACACCAAUCCUCUCAUAUUUAAUUUAAAACGGUGUUCUGUUUUUUUUUUUUUUCCUCACAGGAGCUGAGUGAUCUUCUGAAUGAAAACCAAUAGCAGUUUUUCAUCCGGGUGAACCGCAGGAGUGAAAGAGUUCAACAAAGGUUAAGAAUGAUUACGUCAAUGAUGUUGUCUUCCUCGGCUGUCUGGGCCAACCUGAGUGGGUGACCAGGGACGAGGGAUUAUGAACUGCUCAUGGCACGCCUAGGAGCCCUUACUGAAACAUGGAGUCAUGCUCUGCCAGGGGUAUUUCAGGGGUAUUUGACAGCCUUGCUCUCACACUGAGUUUCUCAAUCUGUGAGGCAUGGCUGGUUGACACAGCGCUACAGCGAGCGUCCCAUCCUGCUCAGAAACACACCGUGAUGAGGUGUGGGGAGCUCGUGUUUGGUUGGAAGCAAGGUGGGGGAUUAUAGAUUGAGAAGGGAUGCAGACUCAGCCCACGUAGGACAGAACACCUUGCUCCAUCUGGAGCUGUCUCUAGGCACCCAGAUUUAUAGGCAGUAUUGAAAUCUAGUGCAUUAUAGGAGAAGGGACAAGGCCGAAUUGGACUUAGCCUAGAAGGGACAAGAAGGAGGAAGAAAGAAUGAGUGAAGGAAAAGAAUGACUCUCUUGAGGAAACUGAAAAUAUGCACUUCCUUUUCCUGUUAUAGAUAUGGGAGGGGGUGAGGCAGCAAGGUUUGCUGCUGAGAAAAGCCGCCCUGUGAGUACUCUCUGUCAUCUCCCACACCCUGACAGGCCAUGGCAGCAGCACACCCUUCCCUCCAUCCAGCCUGCUGAGAAAAUCAGCUAUGCGGCAGUUUCCUAACUCAACAAGGCUGCACUUGGGUUGGUCUUUGUAGUCCCUGCACUUUCCUUCCCCUCAUUUUGAAUUACAAACGGGCAGAUUAUUUUUUAAUAAGUUAGGAUACCAUUUGAGCUUUAGGCUGAAAUGCUUCAUGCAUUGUUUCAACCUUUAGCACUUCAAAGGAAAGGAAUAUU